rnacentral:RNase_P_RNA from 1 species
GAGGAAAGUCCGGACACCAUGGAAUCGCGGGACCGGGUAAUCCCCGGAAUUCUUCUCUUUCGAAAGAAGAGAAGGGUAUGGAAAGUGCAGCAGAGAAUAGACCGCCUCGAAUUCGUUUGAGGUAAGGGUGAAACGGCGGGGUAAGAGCCCACCGCCAUUCUUGUGAAAGAAUGGGCAAGGUAAACCCUCCCCGGUGCAAUCCCGAAUAGGCGACCGUCAGUUGCGGAUUCCGCAAGGUCGUGGGUAGGGAGCAAAGAGUUUGAUCGGUAACUUUCGAACCAAGAUAAAUGAUCAUCGUCGGAAAGCUUCGAGAGAGGCCUUUCGAUACAGAAUCCGGCUUA